ensembl:lincRNA 4930509G22Rik RIKEN cDNA 4930509G22 gene
ACCUGGGUGCUGUACCGGAUAGGUGCAUUUGCUGAAGAACUGUUUUAGGCUCCUGCCUCCCAAGGGCUGGCAUUAAAAGUUCAUCACUAUCCCAGUCUUUAUUCUGUUUUCCAUCCUCUGGUACCUUACAGAGGCCCGGAACACACAGUGUUUUAUGAUCUCUAUGAGAUUGAGGCCAGCCUGGUCUAUGUAGAGUUCUAGCCAGGGCAAUGGAGUGAGACCCAGUAUCAAAACAACAUAAACUGUCCACAUGCUGACUUGCCUUAACAUCAAUUUAUACCUGAAACUAAAUGCAAGCUAACCAUUAGUCAGUUCAUUAGAAAUAGGGUCAAUUUACACAAAGGACAGGGGAGAAUAUUCAGGAGUCAAUGGGACAGAUUUUAUAUUUGAUUCAUCAGUUUAUCCAGUAAUUAUAUGCCCCCAAACAGGUGAUGGGAUAGAAAGCCUUGCAUGUGCUAGACAAGCUCCCUGCCACUGAGCUAUAGCCACAGACCUUUUAAAGCUUAUUUUUAUUUUUUAAAUAUUUUUUAAAAACUUUUAUGUGCAUUGGUGUUUUAUCUACAUAUAUAUCUGUAUUUAUGUGUCAGACCACAGGGCGUCAGAUCUCUUAGAACUGGAGUUGCAGCUACUUGUGGGUGCUGAGAAUUGAACCAGGUUCCCCUAGAAGAGCACCCAUUGCUCUUAACCUCUGAGCAAUCUCUCCAGCCCCAAAAUUUAUUUUUAUUAAUGUGCAUGUGUGUGUGUGUAGGCAUACAAGCCCCAUGAAGCUGGAGAGGUGCCAAGAUACCCCCAAGACUACUCGAACAGGCUUACCUGCCUUUUCAAGUUUCUGUCUUUCAAGACACAAGCAGCCAAACGCCACCCUGCAAGGGAAAAAAAAAGCCCAACAUCAAGCCAUACAAUCCCACCAAUCCCUCAGCUUGCCCCAAGAUCAGGUCACAAAAUCCCACCAAUCUGACACCACCUCGUAAGUCUUCACCCACUCCCCCCAAGAAACCCUAUAUACAGCCUGCCUCCUGCUCAGUCCUGUGCUGGGUCCCACUAGAAACCCUAUAUACAGCCUGCCUCCUGCUCAGUCCUGUGCUGGGUCUCACUAGAGCAAGGGCUGUCACCCUCUUCUGUUUUUCCCAUGUGAGGUUUCUUGUACAGUGUGACUUUGUGGUAUUUCUUGGCUCCUUACUGCCAGGAUACCUUUCCCCUUAGAGCUCUUUCAUUUACAUAUGCAUACACAUGAACCGAAUCGGGAACAGAGUGUGGGUUUCCCCACUAAGUUCUAUCAUUUGGAGGCCCCAGCGAGAUCUGCGUGACACCCAGGAACCCUGAAAGACCCCUUGGAGUUCUGGUAUUCUGUAUUCUGGCAGCUGCCACUUUGGACCGUGAGGACCUAGUGGCUGCAGGAGGAAGACGUUCUAAGGCCCCACAGGCUGCAACUCUGGAAGACGUUCCAAGGGUGACCCUGGAGGAAGUGCCCAGGGUCUGGUUUUGCUCUCAAGGGGUUGACUGAUUAUCUUGGUUUGGCCCCAAGAGACUUUUCACUCCUGCUGGUCGGGUGAAGGAUUUCCAGCAGUCUAUGUCCCUGUACAAAGACCAGCAUCUGGCAGUCAUGGGGCCAAAACAGUUGAAAAUGAUAUCCAUGCAAAUUCAACAAGACCUCUGAUUGGACACUGAAGCCUGAAACCUGCUUGCUCAGGGUGGAGCUUCCUGCUCAUUCGUUCUGCCACGCCCACUGCUGGAACCUGCGGAGCCANCUCGCCACCUAGCCCCUCUUCUCUUCCAGGUUUCCAAAAUGCCUUUCCAGGCUAGAACCCAGGUUGUGGUCUGCUGGCCGGACACAACAAUAAAACAGUUAUGAUAGAUUAAAAACUUUCCCAACAAUAAAAUUUCAUAUGGCUACACCUGUGUUAUCAGAGGUGGGUUUUGGUAUAUGGUAAAGAAAGUCUUAAUUAGAAAGAAUUAGUUUAAAUUUAUGCAUUGAAGAUUUAUAAAAAAUCAGGCACUAGAUGUUGAAUAAUUGACCAUAUGGGGCUGGAGAGCUAGCUCAGUGAUUAAGAGCACUAUCAUAAAGAUUAACCUGCUCUUGCAAAUAUGCCAGUAGCCUUGAAUGACUGCCUCACUGAAUACAUCCUUUUAGAAUUGUUAUAUUUUGAUGAUUUAUAUUAAUAAUGAUGUUACCUGUUCUGUAUGUGAUUCACUGAAUACAUAGUUUCAGAGUUGUAAUGCUUGGAUGAUUUUUGUUGGUAUUUGUGAUUGAUUCACUGGAUACAGUUUCUAAGAGAUGCAAUGUUUGGAUUUUAAUGUAUAAAAUCCCCUGCUUGAGAGCUCCAAAAUACAGUCGGAUUCAAAUUGC